UAUAACCUGUACUGCAGCAAAUAACCCUACGCCCUAGAACGCUGACGAGCAGUUGAAAACGUUACCGUCAAUUGAAUGUUAAGACACAGCCACGUGGUUCAAUCGUCCAGUUGAUUGUCGUUCCAUAUAGAAUAUUCCACGUUAACAGCAACCAAUACUAACACGAUGAAUCCAUAAUGGUGACCCAAAUUGAUACCCAAAAACAUGACUUAAGAAUUAAUGUAGAUAAAUCCAUUUUAUUAGUUUUUUUCUUAAUGAAUCAAUUCAACGGUGAUUCAUUUCAUUUCUUCUAUCAAAUCCCAUAAACCUUUAUUCCCUGAUAUGAGAUUUUAUGUUGAAGCCGGAAUUAUUAGCAAUGAAAGGCGGCGUCUUCUCGGCGCCCGGUGAUUUUGUUUACUUCAAGUCUCAAGUUCCUUUCCACAAGAUCCCUGUAAAUGUUUUUCAAUCCACUCUCUUCUCUUUUUUUUUUUUUUUCUCAUGGCUUUUAUUUCUUACUUCGUUUUGUUGCUGGGUUUUAGACUUUUAGUUAUAGUUUCCUUUGCCAAUUUUCGGCAUUGGGUUUUCCUCAAUUUCGACAUUUAUUGAUCUGGGCGUGUUCUAUUCUAGCUGGAUUAUGGCUUUUACUUGUUAAUUUACUCUGGUUAUUGGUUUUGCUUUUAUUCUAGUUAUAAGGUUCCGGAUUAAGUGGAUGAUACACUCAAUUAUGUAUAUGUUUUUCCAAUCUGAAAGAUUCAAUAUUUAAUGUCAGAUGCUUAAACUGUAAUUGGUUUAUUUUUUUUAGCAUGUAUUCUUAUGAGCUUGAAUUUGAUUUUGUAUUUCACUCAGUUAAGUGUUGCAUCUGUUCAGUAUUGAUAUUGAAUUUCCAUUCAUAGCUUCACCAUUUCACUACACUACUGCCCUUGUUUGCAACCUUAGACUCUUUGUUCUUCGUCAAUUGUUUGGUUGCCAAUGAAGGUACAUUUUUUUUCUUAAUGAUUUUUUAUGUCCAGCAUCUCAACUUGUAUUUUGCAUUUUCCACUUCCUGUUUUAUUUUUCUUAUAGAUGGGCACUAAGCAAUGGCGAUACUAUGAUUUUGGUCCUAAAGUGGUUCCGCCACUAAUUUGCUUUCCUGGAGUAGCAGGGACGGCAGAUGUUUACUAUAAACAGAUUAUGUCAUUGUCAAUGAAGGUAAUUUGUUGGAUGUUGCAGUCAUCUAUAAAACUGGAUGGACAAGUUUGAUGUUUCCCUUUUCUUCUCUUAAUUUUUUUUCCCCUAGAAAAGUUGUUGAGGAUUCAAUUCAGAUGGUCAUAUUGCACUACAGAUAUCCAUAGGACUAUAUCUUUCUUCUGUAGUUUUUGCUCUGACUGCUAGUACCUCACUUGGGACUUGGGACUUAUGUCAUGUCCUGAAGCAUGGUUAUUUGAUGCUAGACUUAAUUUUGGAUGAGAAUCAUAUUUAAUUUCAGGAUCACUGUUUCUAAAAGGAAAUAUAAGUGAACCAUCUAAAAUUGUUAAAUCUUUUCCAUGUGGAAGGAUUUAUUCUGGCUAACAAUUGUAGUACUGUUGUAUAUGGAAAGUUUAUAAUUUUGAAGCCACUAACAUUUGUUAUUUAUUUCAACAGCAGUAUUAAUUAUGUUUUCUUUAAUAAUAAGCCCCAGAAUUAUUAUUCUUUAGCUGUUAUAUCCACAUAUUGUGGCUGAUGGUGAUCAUUUGGGCUGCUUUAUUUUAUUUUAUUUUCUAGUUGGAAGCACAUGGUUGACCUGUUAUCAUAACCAACAUUUUGAAUCUCAACCCGUCAGUGAAACAAAAGCUAGCUAGUUGAACCAGUUUAACUCCGUCAAAAACUGUUCAAAUAUAAUUAAUUGUUUAAAAAUAAAUAAAUAGGUUUUCAAGGUAAAAAGUACAGAUAAAAAGAAAAAUUAUGAAUCCAAAACUAAUUUGGACCAACUGAUUAUUGGUUUGAUGCCCAGUCCAACUGGCCAGUCUGAUGUUGUUUUCUAAGUAUUGACCAUAAAUCAUAACUGUCAAAUGUCAAUUGUUUUCAGGUUUUGUGAUUUCACUCCUUGUAGUUGCUGCCAUCCUGUUAAGGCUGUUUAAUGUAACUUUUCUUUACAAAUUGUAAGGGUUAUCGGGUGAUUUCAGUUGAUAUUCCACGUGUAUGGAAUCGUCAUGAGUGGAUUCAAGCAUUUGAAAAGUUCUUGGAUGUCAUUGAUGUUCAUCAUUGUUAGCUGGACCCCUUCAUUUUUGCUGAAAAGGUAUGUUUUAACAUGAAUUCGUGAUGGUCCUCAUGAACCAUUUAUUGCAGAUUCUGUGGACUUUGUUGUUUCUCGGGUAGGGUCUUCAACAUGAUUCUUUAUGCUUUGCUGAAGUGUAAUCUCUAUUCUGUCUUUAAGCAAGCCUCCUUUGAUGCAUUUAAUAUUUUUCUAAUCUUUUUCGAUUCCAUGCUGUAAGAUGUGUGCUUCUAAAGUUGUUUAAUCUAUCAUGAUCUUUUUCAUUUCUGUAUUCUCAACAAUCACUGCUCAGAUUGUUCUGCUGCAGACGUGUAGGUUGUGGAGAUCAGAAUUACUGAUUCUUGUUAAAUGUUUAUGAAAGCCCAAAGGAAUGAAGUUUCAUAAGAUUUUCAACUUGAUCAUUAGGCUUUCUCCUUGCUAUUUAAACCACUGGAGAACACAAGAUAAUCAACAUAUUCAAAUAAUAGAAGUGAUUGUUGGCAUAUGGUUUCUUGGAGUCUUCCAGCAGUCUUUGCAUUAAAUACAACAGACUUGGGACAAUGCCUUGCGACAGUGUUGUUUUCCCCGAAUUUGCCAAGUAAUUCAGGUUGAAAUACUUUCAAGAGAAGCCAUGGCCUCCAGGUUGACCUUGAAUGUUGAUGCUGCUUCAGUUGGAUCUCUUCUACUUUCAGACUCAUAUAUCACUAUUAUGGAUACAAACGACUAUUGUGCAAUUCCUCAACAGGUCAAAGACCAAUUGAGUGAAAGAUAUCCUGAAGCAAGGAAAGCUUACUUGAAGACAGGCGGCAAUUUCCCAUUUCUUUCUCGCCCAGAUGAAGUCAACUAGCAUUUCAGGUUGAUACAAUAUCCACGUUUGCUUAUAUAUAUAUUAGAGAGAGAGAGAUCUGCCAGGCAACAUAUGCAUUUUUAUUGAUUGGGUAUCUGCAUAAUGCCUGCAGCGAGUUGGGGUUGAAGCUCGACCAGACUGGGUCCGCAGCAUCCCUAAAGAUGGCACCGGUGGGAGUCACAGUGAAGAGGAAAAGAAAGAGGAUCCAGAUGAUCAACCCAAAGAUGGAGGAAGCUCUGAAAGUCAAUCUGAAGAAAAUCAGUUGCCUCCUGUGUCAGAAAGUUCAGAAUCACAUACUGUAGAAAACCAGCUCCUUAGAAAUGCAAAUAGAAAUGCAAAAUGUUGCCUCAUUGGUGAGGAAGAUAUUUCACAUCUUUGGGAAUCAUUGAAGAAACAACACAUCAUAACCACCGAAAACCUUUUGCUGUCUACCUGUGAGAGUUUUAUUCGAUUUUUACUCCUUUAUGUGCAAUCCUUGUACAUUACAACCAAACUGUUGUCAGAAACUUGGGCAACUGGGGUAAAAUAGAUACUUGGAUAUUACUGUUCACUAGGCUGUGCUAAUUUUCCACAAGCAAAUUGACUCUCCUGGAGGUUGCUAAUGUUUUGGCUGAGAAUCAGUUCUGUUUGACUUUGUUGUACAUUUGGCAUUCAAAAUUUUGUCAUAAUUUAAAAUUAUCAAUUGAAUUUUGUGCA